AGUACCGUGAGGGAAAGGUGAAAAGAACCCCGGGAGGGGAGUGAAAGAGAACCUGAAACCCUGCACUUACAAGCUGUAGGAGCACAUUAUUUGUGUGACUGCGUACUUUUUGUAGAACGGGCCAACGAGUUACGUUGUGUAGCAAGGUUAAGCACUUAAGGUGUGGAGCCGUAGCGAAAGCGAGUCUUAAAUGGGCGUCCAGUUACCCGACGUAGACCCGAAACCAGGCGACCUAUCCAUGAGCAGGUUGAAGCGAAAGUAAAAUUUCGUGGAGGACCGAACCCACGUACGUUGAAAAGUGCGGGGAUGACUUGUGGAUAGCGGUGAAAUUCCAAUCGAGCCUGGAGAUAGCUGGUUCUCCCCGAAAUAGCUUUAGGGCUAGCCUCAAGCUUAGAGAAACGGAGGUAGAGCACUGAAUGUCCUAGGGGGUAUUGCACUUACCGAAGACUAUCAAACUCCGAAUGCCGUAUUCUUUUGCUUGGGAGUCAGACUAUGGGUGAUAAGAUUCAUAGUCAAGAGGGCAACAGCCCAGAUCGUCAGCUAAGGUCCCUAAAUGUAAGUUAAGUGGUAAAGGAUGUGGAAUUGCACAGACAACCAGGAUGUUGGCUUAGAAGCAGCCACUCAUUUAAAGAGUGCGUAAUAGCUCACUGGUCGAGUGAUUCUGCGCCGAAAAUUUCCGGGGCUAAAACUUACUACCGAAGCUACGGCAUCAUUAUGAUGGGUAGGGGAGCUUUCUAUACGGGUUGAAGCAUGACCGUAAGGACAUGUGGACUGUAUAGAAGUGAGAAUGUUGGCAUGAGUAGCGAGAUGUGGGUGAGAAUCCCACAGGCCGUAAACCCAAGGUUUCCAGGGGAAGGUUCGUCCGCCCUGGGUUAGUCAGGACCUAAGCCGAGGCCGAAAGGCGUAGGUGAUGGACAACAGGUUGAUAUUCCUGUACCACCAAUAACCGUUUGAGAAAUGGGAUGACACAGUAGGAUAAGCUAACCGCACUGUUGGUUAUGUGCGGGCAAGUAUUGAGGCAGUUCCGAUAGGCAAAUCCGUCGGAAUAAUGCUGGGGUACGAUGCGGAGCGAAAUUAAGUAGCGAAGUAGCUGAUUUCACACUGUCGAGAAAAGUCUCUAUCGAGGUUAAAGGUGCCUGUACCGCAAACCGACACAGGUGGGUGAGGAGAGUAUCCUAAGGCCAGCGAGAGAACUGUUGUUAAGGAACUCGGCAAAAUGACCCCGUAACUUAGGGAGAAGGGGUGCCUUCGAAAGAAGGCCGCAGAGAAUAGGCCCAAGCGACUGUUUACCAAAAACAUAGGUUUCUGCUAAGUCGCAAGACGAUGUAUAGGAGCUGACGCCUGCCCGGUGCUGGAAGGUUAAGGGGAUCUGUUAGAGCAAUCGAAGCAGUGAACUUAAGCCCCAGUAAACGGCGGCCGUAACUAUAACGGUCCUAAGGUAGCGAAAUUCCUUGUCGGGUAAGUUCCGACCCGCACGAAAGGCGUAACGAUUUGGGCACUGUCUCAACAACAGACUCGGUGAAAUUGUAAUACCGGUGAAGAUGCCGGUUACCUGCGACAGGACGGAAAGACCCCAUGGAGCUUUACUGUAGCUUGACAUUGAGUCUCGGUGCUACAUGUACAGGAUAGGUGGGAGACUAUGAAGCAUGGACGUCAGUCUGUGUGGAGUCAUCCUUGGGAUACCACCCUUGUAGUACUGGGAUUCUAACCAGAGGCCAUGAAUCUGGUCUUGGGACACUGUCAGGUGGACAGUUUGACUGGGGCGGUCGCCUCCCAAAAAGUAACGGAGGCGCUCAAAGGUUCUCUCAGUACGGUCGGAAAUCGUACGAAGAGUGUAAAGGCAAAAGAGAGCUUGAUUGCAAGACAUACAGGUCGAGCAAGGACGAAAGUCGGACUUAGUGAUCCGGUGGUUCCGCAUGGAAGGGCCAUCGCUCAACGGAUAAAAGCUACCCUGG
rnacentral:rRNA from 1 species